GCUGACUUUAAUGAAGUCUCUUAGGAGAAUUUUAAUUAAAAAAAAUUAAAAAAAAGAAGAAAGGCUAAGGCACACCUCUUACGUAAGGCUUGGAAGGCCCGCCUCUUAGUGUCCACGUGUCGUUUAAUGCGAUCAACUCUCUCUCUCUCUCUCUCUCUCUCUCUCUCUUUCGUUGUCGUCUUCGAUUAGAGGAAAGCUGAUAUCGGCCGGUUAUAGAUCUUUCUCGGGGAGCCGCGUGCAUGUUUAUUGCUUUGAUCGGAAUUUGGAUCUCGUUCCUUUGGAGAAUGAGCUCGAGAUCUUUCCUUCAGCUAAAGCAUGGAUUGAGUGCGUAUCCUAAUGAUCCGAGGCAAUCAGCAAACUCUUUGGUGACUAUCUGCUUGAUAAAGCAGAGGACUCUGUUCCUAGUGAGCUGCGUCCCUUGACUCCUGUUAAUUAGAGUUGGGGCUAUUGCUGGUUUGAGGGCUUUGGAUCAUGAAGCUUCUGAAAACAUUUUGCAAACGGGUAGGGAGCUCCUGAAAGAUCGAAGCAGGUUGAAGACUGAGGCAAAUGCAGUUUCUGUUCUGGAUGGUACUCAGGGAGGUUCUUACCAGUGGGAGAAAGGGAUAGAAACUUUCCAGAAGUCUCUUCCUGAUGGAAAAGUCAAGCAAGUUUUCUUCUUUGAUCCUGAUGGUUACAAUUGUGGAGAAUGAGAUGUAUCAAAGGUGAAAAUGCAUUACAGGGCAAGAUCUCUAUUGGCAGGAAACCAUUACUUGACCUUUGCAUCUCUUUAUGCAUUGUUUUGUAGUGAGUUCUCUGCCAAAGGAGAUUUGCCCGGUAAUUCUUCUGCGCUAAUAAAUCAACUAAUUAUAUGUGAUCAACCGAUCAAACUCAGCAAAGAAGUAAAUUCUAUUUUUCUUUGUUUUUGUGUGGCAUUGGUUUAUGUUCAUCCGGGUGUGGAGAUAUCUAUUCCUCUUUGUAUGAAUAUAGAAGGUGAGACACAUUUUAACGAGAAAAAACUUCAGUUGAAGUUAUGUUAUUUCCUUGUUUUCAUUCAUUUUCUUAGUGGCCGUCUUCUUGCUCUUCACACGUUGGAUAUGCUUUAUGCUCAAGCCAGGUCAGUACGGAGAAACA